rnacentral:tRNA from 1 species
GCCGAUGUGGUGAAAUUGGUAGACACGCUAUCUUGAGGGGGUAGUGACGUAAGUCGUGCCGGUUCGAGUCCGGCCAUCGGCACCA